GAUCAUGCUCAGGAUGAACGCUAGCUACAGGCUUAACACAUGCAAGUCGAGGGGCAGCAUGGUCUUAGCUUGCUAAGGCCGAUGGCGACCGGCGCACGGGUGAGUAACGCGUAUCCAACCUGCCUUACACUCUUGGACAGCCUUCUGAAAGGGAGAUUAAUACAAGAUGUUAUCAUGAGUAAGCAUUUUCGCAUGAUUAAAGGUUUUAACCGGUGUAAGAUGGGGAUGCGUU
rnacentral:rRNA from 1 species